rnacentral:lncRNA from 1 species
GUUAAUGAAAAAAAGGUGAAAAUAAGCCAAAAUCAAAAUUUAGAAUUUGACCUUGACCUUUGACCUUGACCUAAUUUUCAUUUUUUUGGACCAAGGAUCUUAAAUCAAAAGACCCUAGGUCUCUAUCACUUAUAGUUUACCAGUUAGAAAUGCAUAUCACUGAUAUCAUAUAUAAAAGGGGGGAUAACUCUCAUAUGGAGUCUCCGGAUAGCUUCCGUUGAAAUGAAACAUAACAUCCUAAGGAUAUAACGAGCAAUUUGGAAAAAUAAAUUUGUCGGUUUCUUAUACGGUUGCGAAGUAGUAGUGGCCACAG